CUGUGGAAUUGGUAGACGCUUUCGGCAAGUCUUUGACUUACCUAGAGAUGAACCUUCCCGUGCUUUUUAGAACAUAGAUGGCGCCAGUCAGGUGAUCAUCGCAACGUAAUACGCCGCAGACUUCGGUCAUGACGGUAUGGCGGGCUGCGCCGUCCACGUUUCUCUUUCUUCAAGAAGACAAAAAACCGCGUCGACCAGUUUAGGCUGGGCCGGUUCCCCGAAUGGGCCCGUAGCUCAGUUGGUUAGAGCACACGCUUGAUAAGCGUGGGGUCGGAAGUUCAAGUCUUCCCGGGCCCACCAUUCGCAUUUGCGGAUGAGGGUUGGGAAUGAUGGAAUAUGGCUGAUGCGGAAAGUUGCCGAACCUGGAGUAUCUCAGGGUAACCUUUGGUUAUCCCGGCCAGGCGAUCGAGCUGAUGGGGCUGUAGCUCAGCUGGGAGAGCACCUGCUUUGCAAGCAGGGGGUCAGCGGUUCGAUCCCGCUCAGCUCCACCAAAUCGAUUGGUGUUGAGACUGACGGUUGACGGUUUUGUCUUUUGAAGAAAAUAAAAGUUUGCAUCGGCUUUGAGCCUGAUGCCUGUUCUGCAUACAUUGUGAAGAGAAGAUUGAUCUGGAGGCUUCCAGGUGUUUUGGGUUUUGCCCGAAACGUCCGAGCCCAGUUCUGCUGAUCCUAUGGAUGGCCUAGCCGGCCGGAGAUAGGGGAAGGACUGGAGGUAGGAAGGGAGCUUGUCGCUCUGGAUCGUUUAUUGUUCGGUGCCUUUGGGCAUUGUCUGAUGAACGAUCGGAUUACCGUUGCCUGACCGCGCGGUAUCGGAUCCAAUCUCGAGAAGCUGGUCUUAAGACCUGACACAAGCGAGCUGCUCGGCGUAGCUCCAAUAAAGUGCUCAGGUCGAACACGUCGAUGGCAUUGUUGGAUUGGCUGGGUUGUAAAAGGUAACCCGGUCUGUUGCCGUUCCUUUGGGGCGGUGGCGAGAUGAUGAGCAUUGGCAAUGAGAACGAUUAAGUGUCGUAAGGGCAUUUGGUGGAUGCCUUGGCAUGCACAGGCGAUGAAGGACGUGAUACGCUGCGAAAAGCCGUGGGGAGCUGCGAAUGAGC
rnacentral:misc_RNA from 1 species